rnacentral:lncRNA from 1 species
GGCUAUUCUUGAACCCCUUCACAAACUAAGCAUGGUGGGAAUGACUUAACUAAGUGCAAGGGAGCCAACAUCAUAUCAUUGUGAGGUGACAUUCUCUAGAGGCCAAAUAAGAUGGGUACUUGCAAGUGAUGCAAAUGAGUUAGCGUACUCUCUCAUUAUUAUUAAUGCUAGCCAACAUCAUAUCAUUGUGAGGUGGGCUUGGUAGUAGUGAGUCUCCCAUACCCUACUAAGAGUUUCAUCCAAAACUCUCGAAUUCCAAUGAGGGAUAUGGAAUUUUCCAAAAAUAGUGGGUGGUGCUAUUUGAUUUAAAGACCCGAAUCAAAUGGCUUAAAAUCAAUCAAUUUAUAUUCGUUAUGUAUUUAUUUACCAAUAUAUUUGCAAACGCUAUCCAACACUUGACAAAUAAAAGCCGAAAGCUUUAGUUUCCGUACUUGGUACUUCAAAACCAUAGAUUGUCUGUAAUGGCUUGUAAAUGUACCUAAGUAGUCUCAUCCUCACAAUCUUCCUAUUGAUAAUGUAUCAUUAGAAGAAUAUGUUAGAAAAAGUCUAUCAUAAAGAGGACAACACUUUUAAAGUCAUAAUUCUUCAAUUACAAAUCGUUGUAUGAAGAAAUAAGAGUUGCUUUGAACAACUCUUAGUCAAUGCAAACACUUAGUGCUUGUUUCUUUGUUACAUGAACAAGGAACUUGAGAAGAAAGCACAAAGGCAUGGACACUUAAUGUGCCAUGAUUCUUCACUUACAAUUUGUUGUAUGAAGAAAUAAGAGUUGCCUUGUACAACUCUUGAAAGUUUGUAAUUAUGUUCAGAACAUAAUGGUUGGUUGACAAAAAUAGUCCAUUAACAUGGACUUAUGAUGAUUUUGAAUCAUUGUGUGUUGAAGUGAUAAACCACUUAACGAGACGGAAACUAGGCAAGGACUUCACCUAUGUGUCCCUAUCCUAAUGGUUCACUAAGUUUAUUGUAAACUAUGUAGUGAACAAUAACCACAUGCUCUCCAAAAUGUUUGAUGUGUAUAACACAAUUGAAAUAAGUUUCAAGAGAGAUAGUGGGAGUUUAGGGACCAUGACUAUAGUAGUCAAAGGAGAAGUCAAAUGAAGAAGAUAAAAUUAACUCCAAGGGAACAAACUUUACAUUGGAAGGGGUAUAUGCAAGAAAUGUCUUGCAAGUGUCAAGAACACACCUUUCGAAGGUGUUGUAAAUUGUUCUUGAAUAGUUCAAAACAAUUGGUUCUUCUACUUGAAUGUUUGAUUCCGUAUUAGUAACUAUGUUUUACAAUCGUUGUAAAAGUGUGACUAAUAAGAAGUAGAAGAUAUAUGAGAGAAGAAAAGGUGCUUAACAUUCGGAACGUGAAUAAAAAAUAGAUCUCUGCGAAAGCAGAUAGUACUUACUUCCUCAUAUGAACUACCAAAGAAAUUGGAAAAACCAAAGAUUGUCUUUACAUUCCAAUUUUAAGGAAUUUAAUUCCGUCACUAUAGUAGAGAUGGAUGAAUGUUUUGUUUGACAAAACAUUGUUCUUUAUUAAUCAAUGAUUGGAUCAUGGUAAUCUAAUUGAUUGUCUCUAUAGUAGAGAUAAUAUGGUGGUGUUAACUGUUUAGAAUAAAAUGAUGCUUAAAACCCAAAAGGUUGCAAGGUUGUCACUAAUCCCAACUAAAAUUGUGAUACCUCUAAAUCAUAAAUUACGAGUUGGUCAUAGAUGGAUGCUUUGGAUCGUUAGAUCCGGAUCCAAUACCUUCUUGUUAAAAUUGUAUGGAGGUGAAAUGUUCGAAUCUUUAUUCUUUUGGAAAGAAGAAAGAAUCACAAAGUUGUUGAGGUUAAUUCACUUAGAUGUUAGUGGCACUUGUCCACAACAUAAUACUACUCAUGUUAUAUGACAUUCACCGAAUACAUAUGCAAACUAUUAACACUUGAAUACAUAUGCAAACUAU